rnacentral:lncRNA from 1 species
UUAAUGAACUGCGGAAUGUGUUUCACUGGGCUCUCUGCGCCUGAGAUCGCGCAAAACAGAAAGCGCCACGCACGCGCAUCUCCUCACCACCUGGUACCAGACCGUGGGUCGAGGCGCUAAGCACAGAAAAACAAAGGAGCACCUGCUGCCAGAUGGCUUCCCUUGCUUUGAGCCAAGAGGUAAUCAAACUGUACACCUGGAUAGAGAAGCCCCGCCUCCCGCAGAUAAGAAUCAGAAUGGAUUUAUUGAAGUGACACAGUCAUAGAGAGAAUGCAGCACAAAGGCCUGCACCAGACUUCUCUUCUAGGACUAAAGCCUCAGUUUUUGUAUCCCCCUUCGGUUCCUCUUCCACAGAUCUUGCCCUGCCUCGUUGCCCAGCUCAGACAAACACCCUGCCUCAUCUUCCCCAUCUCCUCCCCACUGGGAGUUGGGGGCCCUCAAUCUUGGACUUCUCCAGACUUCACCAGACCGCAGAAUGGCCUUAAAUCCUUUCCAGUUUGCUUGUCCUCAGCCACCAGAUAGUCAGUCAGCAGUACUCAUUAAGCUUGUUCUGCGGGCAAAGCAGUGUACUGAGGCCUUAUCAAGAAAAACUGCAGGAACAGAAGUGGUAGACGUGCCCUUUCAGGAUGUGAAUUAGUGUCUGUGGGUCCCCUGGUGAGUAACCCGAACCUCUCAGAGACUGAGGAAGCUGCCUCAAGUAACAGCUGGUAAGUGACAGUGCAGGACUUCUGACUCCAAGCCCAGGCAUCUGUCACACACCAUGGUUGCCAUAAAGAGAGCCUGUCCUCCUUGGAAAUACAGAGCACCGUGCCCUGAAAUAGACUCGAAGUAUUUUCAGAAUAGCACGUCAAGAAGAGCACACGCACGAUAAACCCUGAGCUUGUGUGUCCUGGUCUGUUUCGUGGAAAAGAAUGGUUCAAGAAGGAAAGGUUCCUAAAGGGGGUAACCAUUAAAACCUAGUUUGAAAGAACAGAGAGCUAUAGAUUGGCAGGCAAGAGAGAAUAAAUUUGGAAUAAGCAUCUUCUCUUGAGGUUACUUAGACAUUCCUACUGUCGUGGAAAGAAUUUUCCACCGUGUCUCCCAGAGUGAGAGGAAUCCGGCUGAAACGUGGCAGGGUGGAUUCAGGUUAAAUAGCACAAAAAAUAUUUCUGGUGAUGAGGUGGUUAAAUACCAAACUAUUUCCCUAAAGGAAGUGGUGAAAUGUAGAUUUUCUUUUCCCUCGGAUGACUUUAGCUUACUCCUGUUGGAAACGGGAGAUGGAAUACAUGAGCUCCGGAAACCUCGUCUGAAAAUGGCAAUUCUGUGGCUAUAAGAUAACUUUAUUAUGCUCACGUAAAAAGAGCUCAGGGCAACCCAUAUAACAACAGACUAUUACUCAACCCCGGACCCUCCCAGAGAGCCACAGCGAAGGGUUUUCUCACCUUUCCUCCCUGUUCCCAUAUCCAACAAGCAUGAACCAGAAAGGGCCUGAGUCACCAGGUCAUGUGACUGAAAGUGCACACGGGGCCUCUCCACACUUGGCACGGCCAGAUGAAACCCAAAUCGCCGUGCCCUGCAAGCUAAGAGCACCAAGCAGUUGCAGGUUUGUCUCAGGAAACAUCCCGGGGCUGCCGUCCAGCCAUUCAAGCUUUUGAGAAACUUCUUACUUAGAAAUGAUUCAUUCCGAGGCACAAUGGCCUGGCCAUAAGACGGGUUCAGUUGGCCACGUUGUUCACAUUGGGGGUCUGCUGGACACUGCAGCUCCAGGAUUGCUGAGGGGAGGCCUCAGCGCCACUCCCUGCUGUAGACGCCAAUCACUGUUCUCCACAGAAGAGGAUGUUUGCAAUGGCUCCUCCCCUGCUCUCUGGCUGCUGUUCAGAUAUGUCUGGAAUGCCUAUUCUGCACCAGGCUUUGUGCUAGGAACUAGGUUUUCUCCCAUCCGUCUUUCAGAAUCAUACGUUUUAUAAUGUAGAAAUGUAUGGUCACUUUCAAUCAGGUUGCUAAAUUUAAAUUUUCGAAUACGUAUUCCCUGAAAGUGAUUAUCACAUCAAGGGCUGUGUUUUUCAAUCUGGUGAUUUGAUUUCUCCACCACCUGCCAGAAAGGGCCGUUUCUCCUAAGGGAGCUUCAGAACUUCCUCCGCAUCGCUUCCACGCUGUCUCCUUCAAAGAAGAUAAACACAGAAAAUGUUGGGCUGCACUGCAGCAUUCUGUAUUGAAAAACUUCGGUUAAGUUGUUCAAAGAAAACUGUGGAGCUUGGUCAAGAGCUUGGUAUCAUUUUCUUGAGGCUAAUUGCUAAAUAUCACUUUUCUGAUGUCCUUGAAGUCCCUGAAUCAGCUGAGAAAAGAAUUGUCAGUAUUCGUAUGACCUAAAUAAUUUUGAAAUCUGCCCUGGAUAUUAGGCCACUGGUACUUAUUACUGUAAGAAACUACACUCUCAGAAAGUGGAAGAGUUCAUUUAAAUAAUGGAGUUGAAAAUAAAGUGAAAAAAGUAAUAGAGGUGGGGAGGGAGGUACUCAGGUAGCAGUUUAGUGAAUACUAACGGCUGACCAAAGGGACUCACACCCAAAUUUACAGAUGCUGAAAUCUAACUCCUUGAACAUCUGCUCAGGAACCCACACAGGCC